rnacentral:rRNA from 1 species
CAGUCGCCGCGGUAAUACGUAGGUCCCGAGCGUUGUCCGGAUUUAUUGGGCGUAAAGCGAGCGCAGGCGGUUAGAUAAGUCUGAAGUUAAAGGCUGUGGCUUAACCAUAGUACGCUUUGGAAACUGUUUAACUUGAGUGCAGAAGGGGAGAGUGGAAUUCCAUGUGUAGCGGUGAAAUGCGUAGAUAUAUGGAGGAACACCGGUGGCGAAAGCGGCUCUCUGGUCUGUAACUGACGCUGAGGCUCGAAAGCGUGGGGAGCGAACAGGAUUAGAUACCCCCGUAGUCCCUGUCUCUUAUACA